ensembl:lncRNA
AAACGACAAAACUGUAGCAACAGAUGGCUUAUUUUAAGGAAAGACUAAUAUGGGAAUUGUCUUUGGAGGACAGAGGGCUCUUUGCUCUCCAGCAAAAAGCACAGCGAGAUCCAGUAGAUGGAAGUGGGAAGUGAAAACACUCUCUCAGUUACUAUUAGAUGCCCAGAAUUGUCUAGAAUGAGCAGAAAACCUCCACUGAAUGGAGAGGAGCCUCAGGGCCUUCUGCCAGGAUAAAUUGCUGAAUUUGGCAAGUCUCUUUAGCUGCCACAGAACCUGAGUGCUGCAAAACUCACAUCAGUGUUGUUAGGCACAGCAGCUCAAGUAGUUCCAGAAUCUCACCCUGUGAACAAAGAAUGCUGGAAAUCACUUGGCCAUGGGAGACUCUGUGCUCAGCCAGAAUGCCAUCUAUAUCCUGACUGUUCUCCAAGGAUCUUCUGCUCUUGUCCUCACAGGCAACCUGGUGGCAUGCUUGUCUUUCUCUCUCCUCACUACCCUCAUCCCAACUAUAAGACAAAUGGCCUUUCAGGCCUCAAUCAAAAAUGACACAAGACAACAGAUGGAUGCAAGUACACAGGGAAAACAGAAGACAAAACAUUUAUUCAUUUAGUAAGCAUGAGCCACAGUGCACCAGCUGCUCAGGACAUUACUACAGCAAUUUUAUGGGAAGAACAUGAAACGAGUGAAAACACAUGGAGAAGGGAGCUUAUGUAUAUAGUACAUUGUCAGCUUAGCCAACAUACAUAAAGUUUAUUCAUAAUUCAACUAUUUUUUUUCAUUUUUUCAUAAGACGGGGGAGAAUGACAGCAAUACUGACUGAGUCCAUGGACUUGGUUCCGUAUGUGUUAAAUAAUCUGUAACAGAUUUCCAAAUAAUGUAACAAACCACCAACUGUAAUGAAGGCACGACAGAUAAGGAAGCAGCCCCCUUAUUUUUGCAAAGACUAGAAAAGCAUGAUAUGAGAUUUAGAACAGCUUAUGGG